rfam:Triticum aestivum genome assembly, contig: Triticum_aestivum_CS42_TGACv1_scaffold_129580_2BL
UUUAUACUCCCUCCAUCCGAAAAUACUUGUCAUCAAAAUGGAUGAAAAUAGAUGUAUCAAGAAUUAAAAUACGUCUAGAUACAUCCUCUUUUAUCCAUUUUGAUGACAAGUAUUUCCGGACGGAGGGAGUAUGAU